rnacentral:rRNA from 1 species
GAUUGAACGCUGGCGGCAUGCCUUACACAUGCAAGUCGAACGGCAGCACGGACUUCGGUCUGGUGGCGAGUGGCGAACGGGUGAGUAAUAUAUCGGAACAUACCCAGUAGUGGGGGAUAACUAUCCGAAAGGAUAGCUAAUACCGCAUACGAUCUGUGGAUGAAAGCAGGGGAUCUUCGGACCUUGUGCUAUUGGAAUGGCCGAUAUCUGAUUAGCUAGUUGGUAGGGUAAAAGCCUACCAAGGCGACGAUCAGUAGCUGGUCUGAGAGGACGACCAGCCACACUGGAACUGAGACACGGUCCAGACUCCUACGGGAGGCAGCAGUGGGGAAUUUUGGACAAUGGGGGCAACCCUGAUCCAGCAAUGCCGCGUGAGUGAAGAAGGCCCUCGGGUUGUAAAGCUCUUUUGUCAGGGAAGAAACGGAGUUCUCUAAUAUAGGAUUCUAAUGACGGUACCUGAAGAAUAAGCACCGGCUAACUACGUGCCAGCAGCCGCGGUAAUACGUAGGGUGCAAGCGUUAAUCGGAAUUACUGGGCGUAAAGCGUGCGCAGGCGGUUUUGUAAGUCUGAUGUGAAAUCCCCGGGCUCAACCUGGGAACUGCAUUGGAGACUGCAAGCUAGAGUGUGUCAGAGGGGGGUAGAAUUCCACGUGUAGCAGUGAAAUGCGUAGAGAUGUGGAGGAUACCGAUGGCGAGCAGGCCCCUGGGAUACACUGACGCUCAUGCACGAAAGCCGUGGGGAGCAAACAGGAUUAGAUACCCUGGUAGUCCACGCCCUAAACGAUGUCUACUAGUUGUCGGGACUUAAUUGUCUUGGUAACGCAGCUAACGCGUGAAGUAGACCGCCUGGGGAGUACGGUCGCAAGAUUAAAACUCAAAGGAAUUGACGGGGACCCGCACAAGCGGUGGAUGAUGUGGAUUAAUUCGAUGCAACGCGAAAAACCUUACCUACCCUUGACAUGGCAGGAAUCCCGAAGAGAUUUGGGAGUGCUCGCAAGAGAACCUGCACACAGGUGCUGCAUGGCUGUCGUCAGCUCGUGUCGUGAGAUGUUGGGUUAAGUCCCGCAACGAGCGCAACCCUUGUCAUUAGUUGCUACGAAAGGGCACUCUAAUGAGACUGCCGGUGACAAACCGGAGGAAGGUGGGGAUGACGUCAAGUCCUCAUGGCCCUUAUGGGUAGGGCUUCACACGUCAUACAAUGGUACAUACAGAGGGCCGCCAACCCGCGAGGGGGAGCUAAUCCCAGAAAGUGUAUCGUAGUCCGGAUUGUAGUCUGCAACUCGACUACAUGAAGUUGGAAUCGCUAGUAAUCGCGGAUCAGCAUGUCGCGGUGAAUACGUUCCCGGGUCUUGUACACACCGCCCGUCACACCAUGGGAGCGGGUUCUGCCAGAAGUAGGUAGCUUAACCGCAAGGAGGGCGCUUACCACGGCAGGGUUCGUGACUGGGGU